rnacentral:rRNA from 1 species
ACACCGGCGGCCCGAGUGGUGAUCGUGAUUAUUGGGUCUAAAGGGUCCGUAGCCGGUUUGGUCAGUCCUCCGGGAAAUCUGAUAGCUCAACUAUUAGGCUUUCGGGGGAUACUGCCAGACUUGGAACCGGGAGAGGUAAGAGGUACUACAGGGGUAGGAGUGAAAUCUUGUAAUCCCUGUGGGACCACCUGUGGCGAAGGCGUCUUACCAGAAGGGGUUCGACGGUGAGGGACGAAAGCUGGGGGCACGAACCGGAUUAGAUACCCGGGUAGUCCCAGCCGUAAACGAUGCUCGCUAGGUGUCAGGCAUGGCGCGACCGUGUCUGGUGCCGCAGGGAAGCCGUGAAGCGAGCCACCUGGGAAGUACGGCCGCAGGGCUGAAACUUAAAGGAAUUGGCGGGG